rnacentral:rRNA from 1 species
UACAGAGGUCUCAAGCGUUGUUCGGAUUCAUUGGGCGUAAAGGGUGCGUAGGUGGCAUGGUAAGUCGGAUGUGAAAUCCCGGGGCUUAACCCCGGAACUGCAUUCGAUACUGCCAGGCUAGAGUACUGGAGAGGAGAUUGGAAUUUACGGUGUAGCAGUGAAAUGCGUAGAUAUCGUAAGGAAGACCAGUGGCGAAGGCGGACCUCUGGACAGUUACUGACACUGAGGCACGAAGGCCAGGGGAGCAAACGGG